UACGAGGGGUGCAACCGUUAUUCGGAAUUACUGGGUGUAAAGGGUAUGUAGACGGCAUUUUAAGUCAAUUGUUAAAUUCCCCGGCUUAACUGGGGGUAGGCGAUUGAAACUAAAAAGCUAGAGGAUGGAAGAGAGAAGUGGAAUUCUCGGAGUAGCGGUAAAAUGCGUAGAUCUCGAGAGGAACACCGAUGGCGAAGGCAGCUUCUUGGUCCAUAUCUGACGUUGAGAUACGAAAGCGUGGGGAGCAAACAGG
rnacentral:rRNA from 1 species